AUGGCUUUCUUAUAGAGUUGGGCAGGUCGUGUUGCUUGUGUUAAUUUCUAGAUCUUUAUGUCUAUGAAAGUUGAACAGGGAGGUAACUGACCGACAUCUCAAAGAAAUUAGUGAGGACCAUAGGACAGAGGAUAAAGAGUUCUCAGACUGUCAGAAAGCCAGUUUGAGUCGUGGACCAUGAUUGAUCCUAUCUCCAGUGAUGCCAUUGGCAAACGCAUUAUUUGCGAUGGAGAAUGUGCAACAGUGCGCUACGUUGGAAAUGUACCGCCCACCCAAGGACCUUGGCUUGGUGUAGAAUGGGACAAUCCUCAAAGGGGAAAACAUGAUGGAACACAUAACGGAGAAAAAUAUUUUACAUGCAGUCAUCCUACAGGAGGGUCUUUUAUUCGUCCAAAGAAGGCAGAUUUUGGUGUUGAUUUUUUAACUGCACUAAAUAAACGUUAUGGAUUGAAAGUUGAGCAGACAGAGGAACUCGUUCUAGGAAAAAGAACAGUGGAACUUGUGGGGUUCGAGUCUGUUCAUGAAGAACAAAGUCAACUGAACAAGUUACGGGACAUUUCAUUAAGAGAAUGUGGAGUCAGCCAUGCCGGCGAUAAAGAAGAUAUCUACAAUUCGUGCCCAAAUAUUACUAUAUUAAAUUUGUCCAAAAAUUUACUUUCAUCUUGGGAAAAUGUGGCAGACAUUACCAAACAGCUGAAGGAAUUACAAAGUCUUUAUCUCAGUGAAAACAGACUUUCUCUUUCAUCUAGUCCACCCACGUUAGCUGACGCAUUUCUUAAUUUGAAGAUUCUUUCUCUGAAUCAAACGGGAAUAACGUGGACUGAGGUGUUGUAUUGUGCUGCUAUGUGGCCAUCAAUUGAAGAAUUACAUCUAGCCUCCAAUGAUAUCACAGUUCUUGAAAGGCCUGUUGAUUCUCUUCAGAAAUUAAAGUUACUGGAUAUUUCUAAUAACAAGUUAAAUGAUGGGAACCAACUUCAUGCUUUGGGAUAUUUACCAAGACUGAGUCAAUUAAUAGUUUCCAACAACAACAUUUCUUCAUUUAAUUUCCCUGAUGUGCAGUUCGGACAUACAAGUGUAAUGCUCUCUAAAUUAAAUAUUUUGUUUGUCAAUGGCAAUAACAUAUCACAGUGGUCUGUGAUAAAUGAGCUCAACAAACUAGAAAGUUUACAGUCUCUAAACUGCCAGAACAACCCAUUGAUGGAAAGUGCAAAAAACCCUGAAACUGUCCGGCAAUUGAUCAUUGCAAAAAUAGCAAAACUGAAAGUUUUAAACAGGAUUGAGAUUCUUGCACAGGAAAGAAAGGGAGCUGAACUUGACUACAGAAAAAUGUUUGGAAAUGAUUGGCUAAAAGCAGGUGGAAGUCAGAAUCCAGAUUUAAAUAAGCCCAAUGUAGAGUUUCUCACAGCUCAUCCAAGGUACCUUGAACUUAUAAAAAAGUUUGGUGCGCCUGAUGAAGGAGAACUUAAACAGCAACAACCAUUUGCCCUGAAAAAUCAAUUGCUAAUGAUAACCAUUAAAUGCCCUGAUAAACCAGACCAGAAACCCAUACAGAAAAAAUUGCCAGAUUCAAUGACUGUUCAAAAGGUGAAAGGACUUUUAUAUAGACUGCUUAAAGUGCCUGGCUCUGAAAUGAAAUUGUCAUAUGAAAGUGCAAAACCGCUCCAGCUUCCUCCACCCAUCGCAAAGCCUCUUCCUGGGUCCAAAAUGAGGAAUCCGACUUCCUCCAAUCACGGCGUUGAAUCAGACACUGAUUCCCCGGGGGGAGAGGAAGCAGUGAUUGGAGGAUGACCUAUCCAUCAUUUCUGAAGUCAGAAAUGGCUUGCAACGACCGGAGGAAGCUGGAGCUGCUGUGAAGAUUAAAAGAUGGAAGGGAGAGAGAUUGAAAUGGAAAAUGAUUUAAAACCCCUGCAAUUUUACUCAGUAGAAAAUGGAGACUGUAUGCUGGUAAGAUGGUAAUACAACAGCAGACACCUGCAAUCCACAAUGAAUGGUCCAUGAGCUGCAGCCAAGAUUAGUGUUUUUUUAAAACAAAGAACUUUGAGUGGUUUUUAAUCAAGAUUGUUUAGCAACGAACUUGAAUCAGAACAGUUUAUCUGCAUUAUGUGUUUAAAUUUUCAAUAAAUGUUUUAUUUUAUAA